rnacentral:rRNA from 1 species
AGAGUUUGAUCCUGGCUCAGGACGAACGCUGGCGGCGUGCCUAAUACAUGCAAGUAGAACGCUGAAGGAGGAGCUUGCUUCUCUGGAUGAGUUGCGAACGGGUGAGUAACGCGUAGGUAACCUGCCUGGUAGCGGGGGAUAACUAUUGGAAACGAUAGCUAAUACCGCAUAAGAGUGGAUGUUGCAUGACAUUUGCUUAAAAGGUGCACUUGCAUCACUACCAGAUGGACCUGCGUUGUAUUAGCUAGUUGGUGGGGUAACGGCUCACCAAGGCGACGAUACAUAGCCGACCUGAGAGGGUGAUCGGCCACACUGGGACUGAGACACGGCCCAGACUCCUACGGGAGGCAGCAGUAGGGAAUCUUCGGCAAUGGACGGAAGUCUGACCGAGCAACGCCGCGUGAGUGAAGAAGGUUUUCGGAUCGUAAAGCUCUGUUGUAAGAGAAGAACGAGUGUGAGAGUGGAAAGUUCACACUGUGACGGUAUCUUACCAGAAAGGGACGGCUAACUACGUGCCAGCAGCCGCGGUAAUACGUAGGUCCCGAGCGUUGUCCGGAUUUAUUGGGCGUAAAGCGAGCGCAGGCGGUUAGAUAAGUCUGAAGUUAAAGGCUGUGGCUUAACCAUAGUAGGCUUUGGAAACUGUUUAACUUGAGUGCAAGAGGGGAGAGUGGAAUUCCAUGUGUAGCGGUGAAAUGCGUAGAUAUAUGGAGGAAACACCGGUGGCGAAAGCGGCUCUCUGGCUUGUAACUGACGCUGAGGCUCGAAAGCGUUGGGAGCAAACAGGAUUAGAUACCCUGGUAGUCCACGCUGUAAACGAUGAGUGCUAGGUGUUAGACCCUUUCCGGGGUUUAGUGCCGUAGCUAACGCAUUAAGCACUCCGCCUGGGGAGUACGACCGCAAGGUUGAAACUCAAAGGAAUUGACGGGGGCCCGCACAAGCGGUGGAGCAUGUGGUUUAAUUCGAAGCAACGCGAAGAACCUUACCAGGUCUUGACAUCCCUCUGACCGCUCUAGAGAUAGAGUUUUCCUUCGGGACAGAGGUGACAGGUGGUGCAUGGUUGUCGUCAGCUCGUGUCGUGAGAUGUUGGGUUAAGUCCCGCAACGAGCGCAACCCCUAUUGUUAGUUGCCAUCAUUCAGUUGGGCACUCUAGCGAGACUGCCGGUAAUAAACCGGAGGAAGGUGGGGAUGACGUCAAAUCAUCAUGCCCCUUAUGACCUGGGCUACACACGUGCUACAAUGGCUGGUACAACGAGUCGCAAGCCGGUGACGGCAAGCUAAUCUCUUAAAGCCAGUCUCAGUUCGGAUUGUAGGCUGCAACUCGCCUACAUGAAGUCGGAAUCGCUAGUAAUCGCGGAUCAGCACGCCGCGGUGAAUACGUUCCCGGGCCUUGUACACACCGCCCGUCACACCACGAGAGUUUGUAACACCCGAAGUCGGUGAGGUAACCGUAAGGAGCCAGCCGCCUAAGGUGGGAUAGAUGAUUGGGGUGAAGUCGUAACAAGGUAGCCGUAUCGGAAGGUGCGGCUG